rnacentral:rRNA from 1 species
UACGGGAGGCAGCAGUGGGGAAUCUUCCGCAAUGGGCGAAAGCGUGACGGAGCAACGCCGCGUGAGUGAAGAAGGUCUUCGGAUCGUAAAGCUCUGUCGAAGGGGACGAACGUAGUGCUUAUCAACAACGAGCGCUAAUNNCGGUACCUUUCAAGAAAGCCACGGCUAACUACGUGCCAUGCAGCCGCGGUAAU